CCUGUGGUAUGGAAUACCAUGUCACCUAGAAUUAAAUUAGUCAGUGAUGUCUUUCUGACUGAGAACUGAUUAUUUCUACUCGUUUUCAUUUCGGAUGUUGGUGAGCUCAAAAUCUGGAGACCUAUAAGAACUGCGCUUGCUAAGAUUGCUCGAUUUGCCAAAGCUUAGUAUUGACUGAAGUAACUUCUAUCCUUGGCUGUAAAUCACCUGCAUGUGGUCAGUAUUAGUCCUAGUAAAGUCCUGAUGCAGCUCAAAUGUUGUCUGUAGCAAACCAGGGAAAAAACUUGGCGUGCUGCGUGUUAUUGUUUCUAGGUCAGUUUUCCCUAUGUCACCGGCUUCGCCAACUGGUGUUGCUGGCUGCCGGGCCUUAAAGUCAAUUAGAUUUUCUUCCCUUUUUAAGGGCUAAAUGAAUAGUUGGGAUUUGGAUGAACAGUUAUAUCUUCACCCAGAUUGGCGCUAUGGUAGCAAGAGGACUUCGGCUCCUCUGCUGGAGCGCCUGACAUAUUACCAGAUUGCCAAAGGGAGGGAGCCCCCUUAUUCGCAAGCUGGGUUAGGCUUUGGCAGCCAAAUCAUCUCUGCCAUCUGCCGAGUACUGCAGUAAUCAGUACUAAGAGUGAUUUCUUCGGGUUUUUCAUGAAGUCCAAUUCUGUUUUAAUUUUCAACUGAUGACAAGAAAAUCUUCACCCAGGAA